UGUGUAGGCGGCGUUGUUAGUCUUUCGUAAAAGACACUGGGGCUUAACCCCGGUAAUGCGGGAGAAACGGCAAUGCUUGAGGACGCGAGAGGCAAAGAGAACUCAUGGUGUAGGGGUGAAAUCCGUUGAUAUCAUGGGGAAUACCAAAUGCGAAGGCACUUUGCUGGCGCGCACCUGACGCUGAAACACGAAAGCGUGGGGAUCGAACG
rnacentral:rRNA from 1 species